UCUAGCCAUGGGCAGGUUGAAGGUUGAGUAACAUCAACUGGAGGACCGAACCCACUAACUUUGAAAAGUUAGGGGAUGACCUGUGGCUAGGAGUGAAAGGCUAAUCAAACCGGGAGAUAGCUGGUUCUCCCCGAAAUCUAUUUAGGUAGAGCCUCGGACGAAUACUUACGGGGGUAGAGCACUGUUAAGGCUAGGGGGUCAUCCCGACUUACCAACCCUUUGCAAACUCCGAAUACCGUAAAGUACUAUCCGGGAGACACACGGCGGGUGCUAACGUCCGUCGUGAAGAGGGAAACAACCCAGACCGCCAGCUAAGGUCCCAAAGUCAUAGUUAAGUGGGAAACGAUGUGGAAAGGCCCAGACAGCCAGGAGGUUGGCUUAGAAGCAGCCAUCCUUUAAAGAAAGCGUAAUAGCUCACUGGUCGAGUCGGUCUGCGCGGAAGAUGUAACGGGGCUAAACUAUGCACCGAAGCUGCGGAUUCAAACUUUGUUUGAGUGGUAGGGGAGCGUUCUGUAAGCCGUUGAAGGUGUACCGGGAGGUAUGCUGGAGGUAUCAGAAGUGCGAAUGCUGACAUGAGUAACGAUAAUGCGGGUGAAAAACCCGCACGCCGGAAGACCAAGGGUUCCUAUCCCAUGUUAAUCAGGGUAGGGUAAGUCGACCCCUAAGGCGAGGCCGAAAGGCGUAGUCGAUGGGAAACGGGUUAAUAUUCCCGUACUUGGUAUAAUUGCGAUGGGGGGACGGAGCAGGCUAAACAAGCAUGGCGUUGGUUGUCCAUGUGAAAGUGAGUAGGUUGAGAGUUUAGGAAAAUCCGGACUCUUAAGACUGAGACACGAGACGAGCACCCAAGGGUGUGAAGUUGUUGAUGCCAUACUUCCAGGAAAAGCCUCUAAGCUUCAGAUUAUACCGAAUCGUACCCCAAACCGACACAGGUGGUCAGGUAGAGAAUACUAAGGCGCUUGAGAGAACUCGGGUGAAGGAACUAGGCAAAAUCGUACCGUAACUUCGGGAGAAGGUACGCUCCUAUCUGUGAUGAGACUUGCUCUCUAAGCGGACGGGAGCCGCAGUGACCAGGUGGCUGGGACUGUUUAUUAAAAACACAGCACUGUGCAAAAUCGCAAGAUGACGUAUACGGUGUGACACCUGCCCGGUGCCGGAAGGUUAAUUGAUGGGGUUAGUUUUCGGACGAAGCUCUUGAUCGAAGCCCCGGUAAACGGCGGCCGUAACAAUAACGGUCCUAAGGUAGCGAAAUUCCUUGUCGGGUAAGUUCCGACCUGCAC
rnacentral:rRNA from 1 species